ACUUCGGCCAUGUUCGCGCAGCUCCGAGCGGCCUCCGGCGGCGGCGCGGCGGCGGGGGGCGGGGCUCCGCGGGGCGCGGGCGGCCGCGGCAUCCCGGACCGGAUCGCUGCGGAGCGGAGCCGGAGGCAGAACGAGCGCGCGCCCCCUCCCGCCGGCGCUCCCGUGGCGAGCCGGGGAGGUGUCCACGCCGGCCCGCGCACUGCCCUAACCCCGCCGCCGCCCCCGGCCCCAGCUGCCGCCUCGCCCUGAAGGGGUCGCGGAGGGGAACCUCCUGAAAGUUUCCCUGGAAAGUUUUGCUCCAGGCUCCCUGGGGACAGGGACGAGUGACCUCAGCAGUCUCCGGACCGGACUCGCUCCCUCCCUCGGCCCACCCUAAAUUGAGGUCACACUCACUGGAAUGAACGGUUUUCGAACUGUAAUUGAAGUCUGUCAAAAGAUGCUUGUGAUCCCUAAAGCCCCGUGUGUCUUUCUAGUGUCAUUUAUUCACUCAACAAACAGCCAGCUCAAAUCUCGCGGCUGCACUCUGGGCACCAGCCACCGCCCCGGCUGGCUCGCGGGGAGCCAGAUGCCGGACCAGUGUGGAAUUGGGGCUUGGAUCCCUUUGGUGCUGCAGUGUGCUGGUCAGGCCUUCCCCCUUCAGCCGAUCUGGUCCCGUAACAAAUGUGGCAAGUCCUGCAAGGCAUUGCUGAGUGGUGGCCUGCGUGAGCCAAAGUUCCAUCGACACACGUGGGAUACACAGGCAAGGGAAUAGCGCUCAGCCUUGAAAAGGAAGCCAACUGACACCACGUGGAGGAAGCUCACAGCCACAGAAAGACACGUCCCGUCCCAAGAGUGGUCAAGGUCUUAGACGCGGGCAGUGGAAGGGUGGACCUCAGGGACUGGGUGGAGCGGUGGAGAAUGGAGAGCUAAUGUGGACAGAGUUUGGGUUUUGCAAGAUUAAAGAGGUUUUGGUGCUGCAUGGUGGUGAUGGUUACCCAGUACUGUGACUGUACUUAACACCACCGCACUAUACAUCUAAUAUAGUUAAGCCGGUGAAAUUCGCGUGGUCUAUUUUACAGUGGGAUCUAUAUUUUUAAGAGCAAGGGAUUUACAUGCAACCUCCAAAUUUCUUUCUUCUGGCUCAUCUGAGGGGACUUCCCUCAUUUUAAUGCCAGGUCUGUUUGAGGACAAGUGGUCCAUGUGUACCUCCAGGCCCUUCUGGACUACAAUGCAUGAAGACUUAUGCAUAACCUAAGCUAUAGGAAUCUUUUCCCGAGGACCAAGAACCUGCGUGUGCUAACGCCAGGAGCUCACAGGGCUGAUGUCGGGUGACCUUGCCAAGUCCGGAACCCCAUCAUUUCCAAUUCCUUCCUCCAAUAGCCAGCGGCUCGAUAUACUGACAGAGUCGGCAGAGGGCAUAAGGAAAGGGCCAGUAAGGACCACUGAGGACAGUGGGUUCUUCUCGCUCUGUCCUGGUCUAGAGGGCACGCUGAACCUGGUCCAGAAAGCACGCGCUCAAGAAAGGAGCAAUGAACUGCUGGCCGGGGAGAGCCUUGUCAACCUUUGGGAUCCAAGAUACGCAGGCUCUUACCCUGUUAGAAGCCACUGGAGCUGGCUGUGGAAACAGGAAGGAACAGAAAUUAACUCCAAGGCACUAAACCAUCGACAAGGAGGCCGAAUUGGGAGGUGACCAUUAAGGCUGUGUUGGAAAGAGGCAGUGAGCUAUCUGGAGAAUGAACUCAUUAAAAAAAAGAAAGAAAGACAAGACAAGAUAUGGGAACACAUUAUUUCUCCAAGAAGAUACAUCGAUCACAGACAAGCACAGGAAAAGAUGCUCAACUUCAUUGCUUGUUAGGAGCCAGCUAAAACGACAGGAAGAUACUACUGGACACCUAUUAAAAUUACUUAAAGGAAAUGAUGAAGCCAUCUGUCGUUGCCAACGAGGAGGGGUGGCAGGCCGCCCGGCAUAGCGGGUGUUUGAGAAAACGGUCUGGCGGGUUCUCGUGGAGGUCAGCAGACUGACCCGAUGGCUGGCAGUCCCAUCGCUAGGCUUGAACCCAAGUGAAGCGAAAACUUGUGUUGACACAAGGACCUGUACACAAAUACUCACCACCAAGCGCUGGAAACACCCCAACCGCCCCGAAGAACCUCAGCCGGGAAAGGGGUAAACAAACUGCCGUACAGUCACGUGAUGGGCUUUGCGGGCCCCAGGAAAAGGAGCAAAGUGUGAAACGACACGGAGGAACUCCCCCGAUGCGCUGCGUGUGCUUUCUCUUCUGGGCCAUUCUGGGCGAAGUACAACUCGAGAAAUGGAAGCAGAGCUUGUGUUUACAGACCCCCGUCAAGGAUUAAGAACCAGGCUGCCCAAAUCAGAAACCAUGAGCCACAACUGGCUGUCUAUAUGUAUAUUCUAAUUAAAAUGAAGGAAAAUGAAACUUUCCGCUCCUCCGUGGGCAUGGGCCAUGUUUCCAGUGCGGGAUCUGGACAGCUGCGUGGCUGCCGUGCUGAUCGCUGCAGAUAAAGAACAUUCCCAUCAUUGCAGAAAGUUCUACCGGCUGCGCUGCUCCGAGGGCGGGGUGAGGCUGGGCUGCUGGCUUCUGGUUGCUCCUCUCUUUAUCUUUCAAAGUCCGGAUUCACACCCUGCGCAGAGUAACUGCACAAAACCCACAAAGAAGGGACGGUGGGGAGCCCAGGCAGCUCUGAGGGGUUUUCACUUGGUCUUGGGGCAGAUACGUGCAAAGAAGCAGAGCCCCAGCAUGAGACAGGAGGCUGAGGGAACCUUCAGCCCCAGAGCUGGCUGGUGGGGCCGAGGAGGAGAAGCCUCCGAGUUUGGAAGCUGCUGGUCCACACCAGCCUCCUGGAGGGGUGGGAACUCUCUUAACAUCUGUCAAACGCCCGGGGAACCCAGACCACCAUCUUCUCAUCCUUUUCCUGUCUGCCGAGUGUCUCUUCCUGCUGCUGCCGUAUCCUCCUGGGAUCCUUCCUGCGGCCCCGGGGCUGCUUCCUGCCUCUUUGCUGAGUCCUGAGGGCCUCCCGUCACGCAGCCACGAGACCUCGGACGGGACUGCAAAAGACAGCCAGAGAGGGACAGAGAGCGCGAGAGACAGAACAGUCCUCCAUCGGAGCCCUGCCUUGCGGGGUUUGAGUCGGCAGCCCAAGAACCCAAGAGAUGUGAGCCCGGCUGCGUGCAGAGCUCCCUGGGAGCAGGCUGACUUGUUUUUCUUUUACAGCCUACCAUCCUGUCCUUCCUGAAACACCAGUUCGGGAAAAGCUGUGUCUGACUUCGGCAACACAGGACGAAACCAAGGCUGGGGUGGAAAGUUCUCUUGGCGGGAUACCUUGGUGCUGGCACUUGGGAAAAGGGGCCGACUGGGUGUGACUCAUCGACUGCUAUGUGAUCAGUGGCUUCCACAGGCCGUGGCUUCCGUCAGAAACACACAUGUCACCUCCCAGUUUCUGUAGGUCAGGGACUGGGGAAUGAUUUAGCCAGGCGGCUCUGGCUUGAGGGUCUCUGUCAAGAUGUCGCUCCCCAGCUGGGGGACCUCCCCACAGGCGGGGUGGGGGCAGGGUGGCUGGCUUCCCUUAGGAGGAAGCAUCCAAGAGAGAGCAGAGGGAGGGCCGCACGGUCUCUGUAUGACCCUCGGAAGCCCCACCCUGCCAUGUCGACCACAUCCCCAUGGUUACAAGGUCAGGCCAGCUCAGUACGGGAGGGCACCCCCCGGGGAGCGCUCUGGACGGAUUACAAGAGCAUUGCACGAUGGACAUGGCCAGGGUAGGUAUUUUCUUCUGAUCUUCACCAUGAAGACCUGAUGGGGUGGGGAAACUCGCGAAAGUCUCAGGACGUCCCCAGGAUCGAGACUUUUCAGCUCCCAGACGUGUCCAGUGUCGUCGAGGGGUGGCUUUCCUGACCCCUGCGGGUUCCCCCUCUGCUUCCUGUUCUUGGGCUUGCACUCUGGGCAGCUGUGGCUCUCUGUGUCCACUGCCUGUCUCCCGGUGUGUGGACAGAGGUCUGCCCUGGGGCCUCGCUUCUCGGAGGGGUCUGAGAAGAGCCGUUCAUUUCCCGCGAGCUCGCCUUUCUCGCGCAGUGUGGAUGGAACCGUGGUGUGUCUAUGGCCCUGGCACGCGGGACUGGGAGCGGGAAGUGAGGAUAAGUGAUGGUUCAGCAGCUCUGUUUCUGCUUCUCAGCAAAGGUUUGAGAGUCCACCCAUCGCAGACGGCUCGAUCCCCUAAGAGCUCGAGUGCUAGCUCUUCUGGAGAGAGGUCUGAAGGGCCCCGUAGAUCACCUCUGCACCUGGUGAACAGGGUCCCCCAGCUUCCCGGCCUCAGGUCAGAGCCCGGACAGGGAAGCACUACGGCAUGACGAUGCGGUGGCCGUUCUAAGGGUUCGCGUUCCCGGACAUGUGCAGGAAUGCGUGAGAGACAGCUUCCAGCCCCUGAGUUUCCAACAUGCAGCCACCGGUCCCACGCAGCCACUGAGCAUGUGAAAUGUGGCUGGUCCAGAGAUAUGCUGAAAGUGUCAAGUACACUAGACAACGGAUUUCAAAGACUUAGUUACAAAAAAGGCAACAUAUGAUUGAUACAUUCAUAGUUUUUAUAUGGGUUACAGUUUGAAAUGAUAAUAUUUGGGGCAUACUGGGUUAAAUAGUGUAACACUAAAAUUAAAGUCACUUACUUAUUUUCACCCUCUUAACGCAGCUCGUAGAAUAUUUAGAAGUACAUCUGUGUCUCACAUUCUAUUUCUGCGGGAUGGUAUAUUAGAGGCCAGCGACCCUUUUGGGGUCCCGUAGAUAUUUCUGUUUUCCUGACGAUGCUUUCCAUUUGUGUUUGAGCAGAGCAAGGACUCCUAGCUCUCA